AAAAGCAGCCAUACCACCUGACUAUAUAAUCCGUCUGAAGCUAAGUAGUGUUGGGUCCAGGCCAGUACUUGGAUGGGAGACUGACUGGGAAAGCUGGGUUGCUGCUGGAA
rnacentral:rRNA from 1 species